CUCCACUCAAGUAACAAAUAAAAAAAAAAUUCCAUCUUCCUCUCCAAGCAACCAAGCUGACGCCACCACCCUCUCUUCUUCUCCUCUCUUCUCAUCUUCAAGAAACCAAACCUCUCUCAUCUCCUUCAAACUUUGUGACUCCAUAGCAAGAGAAGAAAACAUAUUCCUCCAUCUCUAAGCCGUGUAUACCUCAUCUCUACCUAUUUUCGGUUUUGACUCAAAACUUGGGACCAAAACUUGAUUUCAUCUUCCAAAUGGUGAAAUCUUAAAGGACAUAUAUUGACGUUGGAAGUAUCGAGGAGUAUAGAGGUAAUGAUGAAGAGGCUAGGAGCAAGGCAUUACUGCAGAGGGAGAGGCAGACACUUAGUGUCUUCCCUGUUGGUUUGACCUUGCAUGAAUGAUGGGUUAUGUUUAUGGAUGUUGUUUUUAUAUUGGGAUGAAGUCUCUUCCUAACUAGAACAGUUAUGUUUGUAUGAAUUUAUGAUGGAUUCUGAGAGUCUCUUAUGGAUGAAUGUUUGAAUAGAAUGUCUAUUAGGUGUUCCCUUUAUUAAAUUAGAAAUUUAGAGUACACAUGUGUCAUGUUCAUGCUGAUUGCAUAUUACUAGAAA